rnacentral:rRNA from 1 species
AGGGGAAAAAUUAAUAAAAAAAAAUAAUAAAAAAAUUUAUAAGGUAUAUUUUAAUGGGGGUUAGAGUAUAUAUAUAGGAAAAAUUUUAAAAUUUAUAGUGAAAUAGUAUUGUAAGAGAAUUUUGAAAUAAGUAUAAAAAUUAUAAAAAAGUAAAUUUAAUUUAUUGUAUCUUGUGUAUCAGAGUUUAUUAAUAAAAUUUUAUAAAUAUAAAUUUCUCGAAUUUAAAAGAGUUAAUUAAUUAUAAAAGUUAAUGUAGAAUAAUUAUUUUUAAUAAUUAAUUAGAAAUGAAAUGUUAAUCGUUUUUAAAAAUAUCUAGUUUUUUUAGAAAAAAAUUUAAUUUUAAAUAUUAUAUUUUAAAAUUUUAUUAAUAAAAAUUUUAAUAAUUAAUAUUAAAUAUUUUAAGGGAUAAGCUUUAAAAUAAAUUUUUAUAAUUAAUAAUAAUAAAAAAAAAUUAAAAUUUUAAAAUUUAAAUUGUUAAAUAAAUUAUAAUUUUUUACAAAUAAUUUAAUUUUAAUUAAAAUUUAAUAUAAAAUUUAAAUUUUAUAAAAAAAUAUAUUUUAAUAAGAUAAAAUUAGAUAUAAUGAUAAAAUUAGUAUAUAAAAAUUAAAAAAAUAAUAAUUUAUUAAAAAUUAAUUAAAGGAAUUCGGCAAAACUAUAUAUUCACUUGUUUAUCAAAAACAUGUCUUUUUGGAAAUAAUUUAAAGUCUAAUCUGCCCACUGAUAAAUAUAUUAAAGGGCUGCAGUAUUUUGACUGUACAAAGGUAGCAUAAGCAUAAUCAUUAGUCUCUUAAUUGGUGACUUGUAUGAAAGAUUGGAUGAAAUAUAAACUGUCUCUAAUUAAUUUAUAAAAUUUAAUUUUUUAGUAAAUAAGCUAAAAUAAUUCUAAAAGACGAGAAGACCCUAUAGAGUUUUAUAAUUUAUUUGAUUAUUAUUAAUAUGUAAAUUUUAAAAUUAAAAUUAAAUAAAUUAUUUUGUUGGGGUGACAGAAAAAUUAAAUUAACUUUUUAAAUAAUUAACAUUAAUUUAUGAAUAAAUGAUCCAUUAAUAUUGAUUAAAAGAAAAAAUUACCUUAGGGAUAACAGCGUAAUUUUUUUUUUAGUUCAAAUAGGAAAAAAAGUUUGCGACCUCGAUGUUGGAUUAAGAUAAAAUUUAAAUGCAAAAGUUUAAAAUUUUGAUCUGUUCGAUCAUUAAAAUCUUACAUGAUCUGAGUUCAAACCGGUGUGAGCCAGGUUGGUUUCUAUCUUUCAAUAAAAAUAAUAUUUUA